UACGUAGGGUGCGAGCGUUAAUCGGAAUUACUGGGCGUAAAGGGCUCGUAGGUGGCCAACUAAGUCAGACGUGAAAUCCCUCGGCUUAACCGGGGAACUGCGUCUGAUACUGGAUGGCUUGAGUUUGGGAGAGGGACGCGGAAUUCCAGGUGUAGCGGUGAAACGCGUAGAUAUCUGGAGGAACACCGGUGGCGAAGGCGGCGUCCUGGACCAACACUGACACUGAGGAGCGAAAGCCAGGGGAGCAAACGGG
rnacentral:rRNA from 1 species